UUUUUUUAUGUUUAUGCUACAUAUGCUAUGAUCAUU
rnacentral:sRNA from 1 species